rnacentral:rRNA from 1 species
GGCUUGGAAGCAGCCACUCAUUUAAAGAGUGCGUAAUAGCUCACUAGUCAAGAGAUCCUGCGCCGAAGAUGUCCGGGGCUCAAACUUACCACCGAAGCUAUGGGUGUACACUACGUGUACGCGGUAGGGGAGCUUUCUGUAUGGGUUGAAGUCGUACCGUAAGGAGCGGUGGACUGUACAGAAGUGAGAAUGCUGGCAUAAGUAGCGAGAAAUAAGUGAGAAUCUUAUUGGCCGAAAACCUAAGGUUUCCUGAGG